GGGCUCUUGGUCUAGUUGGUUAUGACGUCGCCUUGACAUGGCGGAGGUCGCCAGUUCGAAUCUGGCAGAGCCCA
rnacentral:tRNA from 1 species